UGACACAGGUGACACAGGUGACACAGGUGACUCACCUGUCACCCUGGGCCAGCUGUCACUCCCCGGCAGGUGACACAGGUGACACAGGUGACACUGACAGUCACACAGGUGACAAUGACUCACCUGUCACUCUGGGCCAGGUGUCACUCCCCGGCAGGUGACACAGGUGACACAGGUGAUGUCCCUUACCUGUCACCCGUGGCCAGCUGUCACUCCCCGGCAGGUGACAUCCCUCCUGCUCCGGGAUCAGCCGCUCGUCCACCUCGAUCACCUCCUCAUAGAGCACCUCGGGCAUGGCCACCUCCUGCGGGGACAGCGGGGACACUGAGGGGACACCGGGGACACUGGGGACAGCGAGGGGACACCAGGGACACUGAGGGGACACCGGGACAUGGGGACACUGAGGGGACAGCGGGACAUGGGGACACCGGGGACACUGAGGGGACAGCAGGACAUGAGGGGACACCGGGACAUGGGGACACCAGGGGACACUGAG
rnacentral:lncRNA from 1 species